GACGAACGCUGGCGGCGUGCCUAAUACAUGCAAGUCGAGUGGACAGAUGGGAGCUUGCUCCCUGAAGUCAGCGGCGGACGGGUGAGUAACACGUGGGCAACCUGCCUGUAAGACUGGGAUAACUUCGGGAAACCGGAGCUAAUACCGGAUACGUUCUUUUCUCGCAUGAGAGAAGAUGGAAAGAUGGUUUCGGCUAUCACUUACAGAUGGGCCCGCGGCGCAUUAGCUAGUUGGUGAGGUAAUGGCUCACCAAGGCGACGAUGCGUAGCCGACCUGAGAGGGUGAUCGGCCACACUGGGACUGAGACACGGCCCAGACUCCUACGGGAGGCAGCAGUAGGGAAUCUUCCGCAAUGGACGAAAGUCUGACGGAGCAACGCCGCGUGAACGAUGAAGGCCUUCGGGUCGUAAAGUUCUGUUGUUAGGGAAGAACAAGUACCAGAGUAACUGCUGGUACCUUGACGGUACCUAACCAGAAAGCCACGGCUAACUACGUGCCAGCCGCCGCCGUAAAAC
rnacentral:rRNA from 1 species